UGCUCAGCACUCAGUGCACCGGCAUUGUGAGAGGAGCUAGUGAGGCUGGCAGGGUCCGGACCCUGAAGCACCUCGAAUGCCAGGCCAAGGAACUGACUUUAUCCUGAGGGCAAUGGGGAGCCACGGAUGAGUUUUGAGCAGGAGAUGAUGAGGCUGGAUUUGCUGCCAGUAGGAUCCCUCUCUGGCUGCUGCAUGGAGCAUGGACUAAAGGCAGAGAGAGCGUGGUGUCAAGAAGCCCUCUGCUCUCAAGGUUCAAGGGGGAGAAGAUGAAGUCCGAGGCUGCUGAAGCCCUGGAGUCCCAUUCUGUCAGAAUGUCCCAGGACCGCUCUGAUGGUUCCCUGGGGGCUCGAGGCAGAGGUGGGGAAGGUGAUUGGAGCUGGGACUUCAACAGCGAAAAGUCCUAGACCAGCGGUUCUCAACCUGUGGGGGUCGAACGACCCUUUCACAGGGGUCGCCUAAGACCAUCGGAAAACACA